rnacentral:piRNA from 1 species
UGAUCAGAGGCUCGGGAUAGCGGGAUAGCG